UACGAAGGGGGCUAGCGUUGCUCGGAAUCACUGGGCGUAAAGGGUGCGUAGGCGGGUCUUUAAGUCAGGGGUGAAAUCCUGGAGCUCAACUCCAGAACUGCCUUUGAUACUGAAGAUCUUGAGUUCGGGAGAGGUGAGUGGAACUGCGAGUGUAGAGGUGAAAUUCGUAGAUAUUCGCAAGAACACCAGUGGCGAAGGCGGCAUCCUGGACCGGUAUUGACGCUGAGGCGCGAAAGCUAGGGGAGCAAACGGGG
rnacentral:rRNA from 1 species